UUUGAUGGUACUAUAGAGGAGUUAAGUUGUACCAUGGGGUACUAGAUCCUCUUGAUGUAGAGGUGGCUCAUAUUGUGGCGGGGUGGAAAGGGGAUCAGACAACUCUCUUCUCUCCUCCCUGGUAUAUUGGGUAGAAAUAAGUCUUUCAAGCAUAUCAAAGAGCCAAUCAACAUCAUCCCGAAGCGAUCUCUCCUGGGCUACUCUAUUUAGUGGAGGCCUUUCUCUUUUCAU
rnacentral:lncRNA from 1 species